AUAAACUUUUUUCGCUCCCGAAUGACAGCGAUCACAAAUUUGGGCUCAAACUUAAUGUGCUUUCGAAAAAGCGUUUGUAAGUCCCGGAGCCAAUGUCGUUUGAUAUACGAAUCAUGAAAUGUGACAUGUCAAUACCCGAUCUGCAUCUCCCAUUCAUUCAUCUGUUUACCACAUGCAUACUAAGUAAGCAGGGUUUUGCCUCGACUUGGUGGCGGGAGUGAUCAUAGCACCACCUUUUCUCAGGAUACAGCCUCGAAGUGAUCCAUCCGUGGUCGCUCGCAGUCGCUCGAAUAACGCCUACAUAUGCUAUUAAAGCGUCAUCACAAAAAGAUGAAGGAUAGGUUAUGGACGCUGCAGCUACAUUCCUGCACUAUCGGUGAGCCUUGACAAUGAAGCUUGAAAUCUGCGGCGCAUUUUCUUUCUUCUCACCCCUUUUGAGGACAGAUCCGUUUAAUUGAAUAUUUGUCCAUUUUCCUUUUCCAGCAAUUACAUUGUGCCAAAAGCUCUCUUGCACGUCUACGGAGGGCGCUAUCAAAAGAAUUGCACCGGCAAAAAGACAACUAGACAGCGUACGGCAGCCUAUAGUGACAAAUGUGUCAAAUAGGUUUUUUAUACUAGUGUUACAGUGUACACGCUCCAAUUAUAUUCAUUUUAUUUGUAGUCAAUUAGAGCUUAUUGGUUAGAUAUUUUAGCUCUAUAUUAUCUUAUGUCAUCAAGACUCACUAACCCUAUUGGUUAUAUGACAAAAUAGGGGUAAGAAUAGAGGUAAGAAUAGAGGCAAGAAUAGUGGUCAA
rnacentral:sRNA from 2 species